UACAGAGGUCCCAAGCGUUGUUCGGAUUCAUUGGGCGUAAAGGGUGCGUAGGUGGCGAGGCAAGUCAGAUGUGAAAUCCCGGGGCUCAACCCCGGAACUGCAUUUGAAACUGCCUUGCUCGAGUACUGGAGAGGAGACUGGAAUUUACGGUGUAGCAGUGAAAUGCGUAGAUAUCGUAAGGAAGACCAGUGGCGAAGGCGAGUCUCUGGACAGUUACUGACACUGAGGCACGAAGGCCAGGGGAGCAAACGGG
rnacentral:rRNA from 1 species